rnacentral:rRNA from 1 species
GACGAACGCUGGCGGUGUGCUUAACACAUGCAAGUCGAACGGUAAGGCCCUUUCGGGGGUCCACGAGUGGCGAACGGGUGAGUAACACGUGAGUAACCUGCCCUCAUCUCUGGGAUAACAGUCGGAAACGGUUGCUAAUACUGGAUAUGAGCUUGCAAGGCAUCUUGUGGGUUGGAAAGAUUUUUUUUGGUUGGGGAUGGACUCGCGGCCUAUCAGCUUGUUGGUGUGGUAGUGGCUCACCAAGGCUUCGACGGGUAGCCGGCCUGAGAGGGCGAACGGACAGAUUGGGACUGAGAUACGGCCCAAACUCCUACGGGAGGCAGCAGUGGGGAAUAUUGGACAAUGGAAGGAAGUCUGAUGCAGCAACGCCGCGUGCGGGAUGACGGCCUUCGGGUUGUAAACCGCUUUCAAUUGUGACGAAGCUUUUUUGUGACGGUAGCAGUAGAAGAAGCACCGGCUAACUACGUG